UCUGCUUCUGUUUUGUUGGUUAUUUUGUUCUUUAGAUUCCACAUAAAACUGAAAUCAUAUGGUAUCUGUCUUUCUCCGUCUGACCUGUUUCACUGAGCAUAACACCCCCUGGCCCGCCCACGUUGUUGAAAAUGACGGGUCACAGAGCUGUGGUCUGUUUGGAGACCGGAAGACAUCCCCAGCUCAGUAACGAAGACCCCGGGCAGGAUGACGCCAGGGGACAGAUAAAUCAGAUUAAAGAAAUCACGCAAGGCCCUAUCCUAAGUGAUCCACAGAGCCGAUGACCUCGAACCCUUUACUGAACCGAGAGGCGAGCUCGUGACCCAUCCCGACCCGCCUUCUGCAUUCGCAAUGCCGGAGAAUGUCAGCCUCUGGAUGGGUCGCCUGCGACACGCCCGACGGUUUCCGUCUAAUCCCGAGAAGGCUAACGGUGGCUGGACGUUAGCGAGCAGAACACGCUUUUCACGGUUACACGCAGACGGCGGCCCCCGUGGAGCUGGCAU